rnacentral:rRNA from 1 species
CCUACGGGUGGCAGCAGUGAGGAAUAUUGGUCAAUGGGCGCGAGCCUGAACCAGCCAAGUAGCGUGAAGGAUGACUGCCCUACGGGUUGUAAACUUCUUUUAUAAAGGAAUAAAGUGAGGCACGUGUGCCUUUUUGUAUGUACUUUAUGAAUAAGGAUCGGCUAACUCCGUGCCAGCAGCCGCGGUAAUACGGAGGAUGCGAGCGUUAUCCGGAUUUAUUGGGUUUAAAGGGUGCGUAGGCGGGCUUUUAAGUCAGCGGUAAAAAUUCGGGGCUCAACCCCGUCCGGCCGUUGAAACUGGGGGCCUUGAGUGGGCGAGAAGAAGGCGGAAUGCGUGGUGUAGCGGUGAAAUGCAUAGAUAUCACGCAGAACCCCGAUUGCGAAGGCAGCCUUCCGGCGCCCUACUGACGCUGAGGCACGAAAGUGCGGGGAUCGAACAGGAUUAGAUACCCCAGUAGUC